UGGGGGAUAUUGCACAAUGGGCGAAAGCCUGAUGCAGCGACGCCGCGUGGGGGAUGAAGGCCUUCGGGUUGUAAACUUCUUUUGCUCUGAACAAGGCAUGCCUUUGGGGUGUGUUGAGUGUAGGGGUUGAUUAGCGCCGGCUAACUACGUGCCAGCAGCCGCGGUAAUACGUAGGGCGCGAGCGUUGUCCGGAAUUAUUGGGCGUAUAGGGCUUGUAGGUGGCUGGUUGCGUCUGUCGUGAAAGCUCAUGGCUUAACUGUGGGUUUGCGGUGGGUACGGGCUGGCUUGAGUGCAGUAGGGGAGGCUGGAAUUCCUGGUGUAGCGGUGGAAUGCGCAGAUAUCAGGAGGAAUACCGGUGGCGAAGGCGGGUCUCUGGGCUGUUACUGACGCUGAGGAGCGAAAGCGUGGGGAGCGAACAGG
rnacentral:rRNA from 1 species